AGAACGAACGCUGGCGGCAUGCCUAACACAUGCAAGUCGAACGCUUUUGGGGCUUCGGUCCCAAAGGAGUGGCGCACGGGUGAGUAGCGCGUGGGAACCUGCCCUGUUGUGGGGGAUAACCGAGGGAAACUUCGGCUAAUACCGCAUACGCCCGGGGGAAACUCCGGGGAAAGAUUUAUCGCAGCAGGAGGGGCCCGCGUCGGAUUAGGUAGUUGGUGGGGUAACGGCCCACCAAGCCUGUGAUCCGUAGCUGGUCUGAGAGGAUGAUCAGCCACACUGGGACUGAGACACGGCCCAGACUCCUACGGGAGGCAGCAGUGGGGAAUAUUGGACAAUGGGCGCAAGCCUGAUCCAGCAAUGCCGCGUGAGUGAUGAAGGCCUUCGGAUUGUAAAGCUCUUUCGGCGGGGACGAUGAUGACGGUAGCGGGAGAAGAAGCCCCGGCUAACUUCGUGCCAGCAGCCGC
rnacentral:rRNA from 1 species